CCUACGGGUGGCAGCAGUGGGGGAUAUUGCACAAUGGGGGAAACCCUGAUGCAGCGACGCCGCGUGUGGGAAGACGGUCCUCUGGAUUGUAAACCACUGUCCCCAGGGACGAAGAUGACGGUACCUGGGGAGGAAGCUCCGGCUAACUACGUGCCAGCAGCCGCGGUAAUACGUAGGGAGCGAGCGUUGUCCGGAAUUACUGGGUGAAAAGGGAGCGUAGGCGGGACUGCAAGUUGGGUGUAAAAUCUACCGGCUCAACCGGUAGCCGCACUCAAAACUGCAGUUCUUGAGUGAAGUAGAGGCAGGCGGAAGUCCUGGGGUAGCGGUGAAAUGCGUAGAUAUUAGGGGGAACACCGGUGGCGAGGCGGCCUGCUGGGCUUUUACUGACGCUGAGGCUCGAAAGUGUGGGGAGCAAACAGGAUUAGAUACCCGUGUAGUC
rnacentral:rRNA from 1 species